AGUGAACGCUGGCGGUAGGCCUAACACAUGCAAGUCGAACGGCGGCACAGUAAGAGCUUGCUCUUACGGGUGGCGAGUGGCGGACGGGUGAGGAAUACAUCGGACUCUACUUUUUCGUGGGGGAUAACGUAGGGGAACUUACGCUAAUACCGCAUACGACCUACGGGUGAAAGCAGUGGAUCUUCGGACCUUGCGCGAUUGAAUGAGCCGAUGUCGGAUUAGCUAGUUGGCGGGGUAAAGGCCCACCAAGGCGACGAUCCGUAGCUGGUCUGAGAGGAUGAUCAGCCACACUGGAACUGAGACACGGUCCAGACUCCUACGGGAGGCACCAGUGGGGAAUAUUGGACAAUGGGCGCAAGCCUGAUCCAGCCAUACCGCGUGGGUGAAGAAGGCCUUCGGGUUGUAAAGCCCUUUUGUUGGGAAAGAAAAGCAGCAGGUUAAUACCCCGCUGUUCUGACGGUACCCAAAGAAUAAGCACCGGCUAACUUCGUG
rnacentral:rRNA from 1 species